ensembl:lncRNA
CAUGAAUUACUCAAAAGUUUAGACUUCUCAGUUGUGAAUUAAGAAUGGUCUGUCCUUUGGAAAACGUCUACUGGGAUUGGUAGCUGUGAGUACUUAGAGGAGGUUAAAUAGGAGAAAAUUCCCUUUAAAAAUAGAUGAAAAGCUGGCUCCUGGGACAGUCUCAGAAGAGUCUCAGAGGAACUCGCUCUGGAGAUGGCAGCUGGCCAAAGCUGAACUGGUGUCUCUCUGAACACUAGAAUGCUUGCUUGGACAAAUAUUGUGGUGAAUGGAUAAAAGACUGACUGAUCUCUCUCUUAGGGAUGGGGCCUGGGCUGGCCUAUCUUUUUCUCAUUAUUUCCUUUUUCUCUCUCUCCCCCUUUCUUUAAUUCCUCAUUUGUAUUAAUUAAAAUCUCUAUAAAACCCAGCUGACUUGGGUAUAUUUAAUAAUUGGGAAUUUUUCCUGGCGACCAUCUUAUAUUUGAUUUAAAACAAAACACUGUAUACAAAACAUAUUUUCUGGGCUCACAAUUUAAGCCAAAUACUGUUUUAUCUGCAACAAUUUAUGUCUUCCACUAUUUUAAUCAUCACAGUAGGAUGGUUGUUAUUAGCGGUAGUUAUAGAUAGAUAUAAGCAGUUUAGGUAGUAAAUAGAGGUAGUUAUAGGAUCACUCAUAUAGACUUUAGGAAAUUUUCUUUCUCUGUCUCUUUCUUAUGGUUUCUCUUGUUUACUGUAAUCAUUUCACUCUAUUCUUUCACUGUCUAUUUAACUUAAUUAUUCCUUAUUAAAACCUGCUAGAAGUUUUCCUUCCUCUGGCUUACAGGGAUGACAUUAAGUUACUCCUCUACUUUAUUCGCAAUAAAACUUAAAUGAUUACAAGCUGCCAUCUUAUAUUUUCGAAACUCCUCAUUUAACCCUUACAGAGACGAGGCUACAAAAAGCUGGAGGAACUUCAUGGGGGACUCACUGCGGCUACUUUGCUGCCUCCACAGGGAGCCUGGAGUGCCCCCGAUGGCGUUGGAGAGGGACAGAAUCCCAGGCCAGGAGGUGGUGACAUUCCAGGAUGUGGCUGUGGACUUCACUCAGGGGGAGUGGCGCCUCUUGUCCCCUCCCCAGAAGGAGCUGUACAGGGAGGUAAUGCUGGAGAAUGUCCGGAACCUGCUCUCUGUGGGUAAGGAGCCUCUCCCUGCUGCCCGAGUCUGCCAUCCAAGGGAAUGUCGCCCUCAGCAGCAGGUACGGUUAGGAGCAGUUUUCAGACAUGAGGAAGGGACGAGGGCUGGUAAGGCGAGUCCCCAGCCAGGGCCCUCCUGCUGCCUGCUUCUCCUGUAAAAGGACUUUGCAUGGUGUAAUGGGACUUUCUCUGCAGUCCAAGAUCAGAUGCGUGUUGGAGAGUCUCAGACGCAGAAGUAUUCUCAGCGUUGAAUCCAUCUCAUCCCUCCCUGGGCCGGAAUUUGUCUCCCAAACCCCUCUGGGAAAGCUGUUCUGGAGGAUGUUCCUCCCACCUUCUUCCCCUCUAGGGUGGAUCUACUACUGGGGCUCUUUUUCUCUUCAACCAGCAUAAACUCGUAGCCCUCAGCUCCUCGGUGUCCCCAGGAGACAUAAUUUGUCCUUAGUCUUCCUUCCUUUGCCCUCAGGCUCCAGCAGAGCCAGUAAGGAAGGGAGGUAAAGGCCAAAGCAUUUAUAAUGACCUGCUCUUGGCCUGGGACUCUAUCUAGGGUUUUCUCUGUGAUUUUCUGGCUCUUCUUCCUCACUUUCCUCUUCCUCAUUCAGUGCCACAAUUACCCCAUUUUACAGAUGAGAAAAUAGAUUCAAUUCAGUGGCUUGUUCUGAAGCGCCCACAUAGCUGCUUGUGGCGAAACGGAAACUGAGGCCUUCCUGCCUCUGAUUCCCAGCUCCUCAGCCCUCUCCUUCUGACUGCCUCUCAUUUCCUGCUAAUGGAAAACUAAGGACUGAGUCCAGGCUUCUCUGAAAUAAAUCCCCUAAAACCUACCA